rnacentral:rRNA from 1 species
UACGUAGGGUGCAAGCGUUGUCCGGAAUUAUUGGGCGUAAAGAGCUCGUAGGCGGUUUGUCGCGUCUGCUGUGAAAACUGGGGGCUCAACCCCCAGCCUGCAGUGGGUACGGGCAGACUAGAGUUCGGUAGGGGAGAUCGGAAUUCCUGGUGUAGCGGUGAAAUGCGCAGAUAUCAGGAGGAACACCGGUGGCGAAGGCGGAUCUCUGGGCCGAUACUGACGCUGAGGAGCGAAAGCGUGGGGAGCGGACAGG